GAUGGGAGCGCUUGACUGCAGUUACGAUAGGAGGAUCCCACGGGGCGCGUGGAGAUCACUCAGGGUGUAUAGUUUUUUGGUAGGAUGAUCAGAUUAGGUUGAUGUGUAGGGACUAGGCGUCCUUCUUUUUGGGUUGGUGUAUUUUUAAUUUGGAAAACUGUACUUAUACUAAUAUUGUCAGUUUGACAUCUUAUUUGAAUGGGUUCCAUGUACCAUUUGUUGUUGUGUAAAUGUUUUGGAUUUAUAUUUGGAGAAACUUUUCCGC
rnacentral:lncRNA from 1 species